UGAUUAUGAUGAGGGCAAUUUUUGAGCAUACCCUUAAAUCUCUCCUAAUCUUGGUAAAGAUUCUCUUUGUUUUUCUAUCAAAAACUCAAGAUUUCACUCCUCAAACA
rnacentral:snoRNA from 1 species